CCUCGGGUGUCAGCAGUGGGGAAUAUUGGACAAUGGGCGAAAGCCUGAUCCAGCCAUGCCGCGUGUGUGAAGAAGGCCUUCGGGUUGUAAAGCACUUUCAGUGGGGAAGAAAGCCUUGGGGCUAAUACCCUCGAGGAAGGACAUCACCCACAGAAGAAGCACCGGCUAACUCCGUGCCAGCAGCCGCGGUAAUACGGAGGGUGCGAGCGUUAAUCGGAAUUACUGGGCGUAAAGCGCGCGUAGGCGGUCUGAUAAGCCGGUUGUGAAAGCCCCGGGCUCAACCUGGGAACGGCAUCCGGAACUGUCAGGCUAGAGUGCAGGAGAGGAAGGUAGAAUUCCCGGUGUAGCGGUGAAAUGCGUAGAGAUCGGGAGGAAUACCAGUGGCGAAGGCGGCCUUCUGGACUGACACUGACGCUGAGGUGCGAAAGCGUGGGUAGCAAACAGGAUUAGAUACCGAGUAGUC
rnacentral:rRNA from 1 species